rnacentral:rRNA from 1 species
AGAGUUUGAUCAUGGCUCAGAAUCAACGCUGGCGGCGCGCUUAACACAUGCAAGUCGAGCGAGAAAGGGAGCAAUCCUGAGUAAAGCGGCGCACGGGUGAGUAACACGUGGGUAAUCUACCCUUGGGUGGGGAAUAACCCUGGGAAACCGGGGCUAAUACCGCAUAAGCCUGGGAAGGGAAAGGCGAAAGUCGCCGAAGGAGGAGCCCGCGGCUGAUUAGCUAGUUGGUAGGGUAAGAGCCUACCAAGGCUUCGAUCGGUAGCCGGCCUGAGAGGGCACACGGCCACACUGGCACUGAAACACGGGCCAGACUCCUACGGGAGGCAGCAGUGGGGAAUCUUGCACAAUGGGGGAAACCCUGAUGCAGCGACGCCGCGUGAGCGAUGAAGCCCUUCGGGGUGUAAAGCUCUUUCGACCGGAACGAUAAUGACGGUACCGGGAGAAGAAGCUGCGGCUAACUACGUGCCAGCAGCCGCGGUAAUACGUAGGCAGCGAGCGUUGUUCGGAGUUACUGGGCGUAAAGCGUGCGUAGGCGGUUUUCUAAGUCUGGUGUGAAAUCUCCCGGCUUAACCGGGAGGGUGCGCCGGAUACUGGGGAGCUUGGAGUGCGGGAGAGGUAAGCGGAAUUCCUGGUGUAGCGGUGAAAUGCGUAGAUAUCAGGAGGAACACCGGCGGUGUAGACGGCUUACUGGACCGCGACUGACGCUGAGGCACGAAAGCGUGGGUAGCAAACAGGAUUAGAUACCCUAGUAGUCC